UGUUAAUAUUAAGGAUGUGGAGAUUAUAAAUCUGUGGAGAUUAUAAUGGUACAGAUUAAACAGUGAAUUUUCAUAAUUAUGUUAUUUCAUGUUAAUAUUCAGCUUGGAACUUGGCUGUGCAAUGUGAGAAAGAUCCACUGUCAAUGAGAGAGUUUUUUGUACUUUCUUACAAGCUGUCCCAGUUUUGUCCUUCUGAUCAAGUAAUUCUGAUUGCACAGAAAACAUGUUUACUCAUGGCAGCUGCAAUUGAUCUAGACCAAGGGAGAAAAGCUUCAACAGCUUUUGAACAGACCUGCUUCCUAAAUCGUGCACUUGAGCUGAUCUGUAAAUGCAGAGACAUCUGGAAUCUCCUGAAAACAACAGGGGACUUCUCAAGAGAUCCAUGCGAGACAUUGCUUCUGCUGUAUGAAUUUGAAGUGAGAGCCAAACUGAGUGACCCAUUACUGGACCACUUCCUGGAACCAGUGUGGGAACUACCUCACUUAGAAAGUAAAGCAUUUGAAACAAUUGCGGCAUUAGCAAUGGAAAUGCCUGCAUGCUAUCCUUCUAUUGCUCUGAAGGCCUUGAAAAAGGCUUUGUUUUUCCACAAAAGGAAGGAAUCAAUUGAUGUUUUGGGAUACAGCAAAUGUAUGCACAGCUUGGUUAACCUCUUAGUGCCAGAUGGGGUGCCGAAUACAGAACUCUGUCCCAUGGAAGAAAUUUGGGGCAAUUUUGAAGAUGCUCUGAUCUUUAUUAGCCAAACUGAAGGCUACCCAGAAAUGGAAAUUCUCUGUCUGAUGAUCAAGUCCUGGAAUAUUGGCAUAUUUCUGUACAGUAAACGCAUGUAUGUAUCUACUGAAAAAUGGUGCAGCCUGGCACUGCGUCUCCUUAACUACCUUGGCUCCCUCAAGAGCACCUAUGAAACUCAGGUGAAUAUUCUGUACAGUGAGCUUGUGGAAGCAUUAGAAAAAAACAAGCGCUCAGCUUUUAAUGAAGAGUGA
rnacentral:lncRNA from 1 species